GACGAACGCUGGCGGCGUGCCUAAUACAUGCAAGUAGAACGCACAGUUUAUACCGUAGCUUGCUACACCAUAGACUGUGAGUUGCGAACGGGUGAGUAACGCGUAGGUAACCUGCCUGGUAGCGGGGGAUAACUAUUGGAAACGAUAGCUAAUACCGCAUAAUAUUAAUUAUUGCAUGAUAAUUAAUUGAAAGGUGCAAUUGCACCACUACCAGAUGGACCUGCGUUGUAUUAGCUAGUAGGUGAGGUAACGGCUCACCUAGGCGACGAUACAUAGCCGACCUGAGAGGGUGGUCGGCCACACUGGGACUGAGACACGGCCCAGACGCCUACGGGAGGCAGCAGUAGGGAAUCUUCGGCAAUGGACGAAAGUCUGACCGAGCAACGCCGCGGGAGUGAAGAAGGUUUUCGGAUCGUAAAGCUCGGUUGUAAGAGAAGAACGGGUGUGAGAGUGGAAAGUUCACACUGUGACGGUAUCUGACCAGAAAGGGACGGCUAACUACGUG
rnacentral:rRNA from 1 species